ensembl:lncRNA
UUUUUUUUUUUUUAUUUAUUUUUUUUUUUACCUUGAGCCCAGUGUUAUUUUAUUAUUAUUUAUUUACUAUUAUAUCUUUUAUUAAGUUUUUGAAUUCCCUUUCAUUAAAGUUUUCAUACUUUUAGUGUUUGUUUCAAUUCUAGGUACAUUUAGUCAUUUUGUUUUAUGUUUUUGUUAUUUUUAUUAGCUUUUUAAAUAUUACUAUUUAUGAUUUUUAUUUCAACUUUAUAUAUUUUAUUUCCAGAUAGUAAUUUUAUUAACAAAUGAGUAAUGUUGCCUUAGCAAUUAACUGAAAUAAGUUUAUGAUAUUUCAAUUGUAUUACAGCUCUGUGUGUGUGUGUUUGUUAGUAUUAUUGGUUUAGGUUUAGUGUCCUUGUAAUAAGUGUCUUGAUAGUGACUAAUAACUUGUAUGAUAAGCGUCCUGAACUUGUGUGUGUGUGGUUUUUCAGUUCUGUUGUAGUUUUUGUGUUGUAGGGUACUUGCCCUUUAAAAGCUGCAGAGUUUUCUUUUCUUUCUUUAUUUGUUAUUUUCCUUUAAAUACUUAAUUAAUUGGACUUAUGAUGAGCUUUGAAAUACCAUACCUUAAACCUAAAAUUAUUAGAAUUAUAUUUAAAUGAAGUGGCUUUAUGCGCUGUGUGUGUGAAUUCGGCGAUACUCUGAUGACGUCGCAGCUCUCCGGCCCGGUGACGUAAGUGCUGGCGUAGCGGAUCGUGUGUGUGUGUGUGUGUGGGCUCACACUCAUUUGAUCGAGCGCUGUGCGGCAAACUCGCACACGCGCCGCGCCGCGGACUCGGAUCAUGACGCGCGCUCCAUUUCCCCUUCAUUCGAUUCGUUUUAACGCUCGGCGGCCCGCUUGAUCCGGAUCCGAUGGAGGGAGCCGCGGCCGGAGGAUGUUCCGCGCUGCCGGAGGACGCGGACGCGGUGGUCGGCGCGGGAUGCGGGAUGGAUGCAGAUCUCGACGCUGCUCUUAAGAAGACCUGCAUAACCGAGAUGCCGUCUUCCUCGUGUCACUCCAGCUCUGGCCCUGAGAAGAAGAUCGGUCACCGGCGGGUCGAUGCAUCCGGUGAAACCACCUACAAGAAGGUGCGUCUUCUUCAGUCUCCCAUGAGCUUCACGGUGUCUCGAUCUCAUCUGGCAAUUUUGUCAAUUUCAAUCACAAUGUCGGUCAUCUUUUACCUCAGGCUGCUGAUAUAUACAGCGUGGUCCAAAAGCGUCCAUGAUGGACAUCUAGGUUUUUUUUUAAAUCCUGGAAAUCAUCAGAAAGCUUUAGGAUUUUGAAAACAAAUUUUUGACUUUAUUGCAUACAGUACAUACACACAUUAAAAUUGCUAGACUUAAAACGUUAUCAUUAUAGACAUUAGUUUCAGUUAAAUAAAACAUUACUGUGCAUUGUUUAUUGACA